rnacentral:rRNA from 1 species
GGGCGUUAAGUUGCAGGGUAUAGACCCGAAACCCGGUGAUCUAGCCAUGGGCAGGUUGAAGGUUGGGUAACACUAACUGGAGGACCGAACCGACUAAUGUUGAAAAAUUAGCGGAUGACCUGUGGCUGGGGGUGAAAGGCCAAUCAAACCGGGAGAUAGCUGGUUCUCCCCGAAAGCUAUUUAGGUAGCGCCUCGUGAAUUCAUCUCCGGGGGUAGAGCACUGUUUCGGCUAGGGGGCCAUCCCGGCUUACCAACCCGAUGCAAACUGCGAAUACCGGAGAAUGUUAUCACGGGAGACACACGGCGGGUGCUAACGUCCGUCGUGAAGAGGGAAACAACCCAGACCGCCAGCUAAGGUCCCAAAGUCAUGGUUAAGUGGGAAACGAUGUGGGAAGGCCCAGACAGCCAGGAUGUUGGCUUAGAAGCAGCCAUCAUUUAAAGAAAGCGUAAUAGCUCACUGGUCGAGUCGGCCUGCGCGGAAGAUGUAACGGGGCUAAACCAUGCACCGAAGCUGCGGCAGCGACACUGUGUGUUGUUGGGUAGGGGAGCGUUCUGUAAGCCUGCGAAGGUGGCCUGUGAGGGUUGCUGGAGGUAUCAGAAGUGCGAAUGCUGACAUAAGUAACGAUAAAGCGGGUGAAAAGCCCGCUCGCCGGAAGACCAAGGGUUCCUGUCCAACGUUAAUCGGGGCAGG